rnacentral:rRNA from 1 species
UAAUACAUGCAAGUCGAACGCGUCUCCGUUGAUGAUUUUAGGUGCUUGCACUUGAAAGAUUUAACAUUGAGACGAGUGGCGAACUGGUGAGUAACACGUGGGUAACCUGCCCUUGAAGUAGGGGAUAACACUUGGAAACAGGUGCUAAUACCGUAUAACAACCAAAACCACCUGGUUUUGGUUUAAAAGACGGCUUCGGCUGUCACUUUAGGAUGGACCCGCGGCGUAUUAGCUUGUUGGUAAGGUAACGGCCUACCAAGGCGAUGAUACGUAGCCGACCUGAGAGGGUAAUCGGCCACAUUGGGACUGAGACACGGCCCAAACUCCUACGGGAGGCAGCAGUAGGGAAUCUUCCACAAUGGACGAAAGUCUGAUGGAGCAACGCCGCGUGAGUGAUGAAGGGUUUCGGCUCGUAAAACUCUGUUGUUGGAGAAGAACAGGUGUCAGAGUAACUGUUGACAUCUUGACGGUAUCCAACCAGAAAGCCACGGCUAACUACGUGCCAGCAGCCGCGGUAAUACGUAGGUGGCAAGCGUUGUCCGGAUUUAUUGGGCGUAAAGCGAGCGCAGGCGGUUUUUUAGGUCUGAUGUGAAAGCCUUCGGCUUAACCGGAGAAGUGCAUCGGAAACCGGGAGACUUGAGUGCAGAAGAGGACAGUGGAACUCCAUGUGUAGCGGUGAAAUGCGUAGAUAUAUGGAAGAACACCAGUGGCGAAGGCGGCUGUCUGGUCUGUAACUGACGCUGA